rnacentral:rRNA from 1 species
GAUGAACGCUAGCUACAGGCUUAACACAUGCAAGUCGAGGGGCAGCAGGAUCUAGCAAUAGAUUGCUGGCGACCGGCGCACGGGUGAGUAACACGUAUCCAACCUGCCGAUAACUCGGGGAUAGCCUUUCGAAAGAAAGAUUAAUACCCGAUGGUAUAAUCAGACCGCAUGGUCUUGUUAUUAAAGAAUUUCGGUUAUUGAUGGGGAUGCGUUCCAUUAGGCAGUUGGUGAGGUAACGGCUCACCAAACCUUCGAUGGAUAGGGGUUCUGAGAGGAAGGUCCCCCACAUUGGAACUGAGACACGGUCCAAACUCCUACGGGAGGCAGCAGUGAGGAAUAUUGGUCAAUGGGCGCAGGCCUGAACCAGCCAAGUAGCGUGAAGGAUGACUGCCCUAUGGGUUGUAAACUUCUUUUAUAUGGGAAUAAAGUUUUCCACGUGUGGAAUUUUGUAUGUACCAUAUGAAUAAGGAUCGGCUAACUCCGUGCCAGCAGCCGCGGUAAUACGGAGGAUCCGAGCGUUAUCCGGAUUUAUUGGGUUUAAAGGGAGCGUAGGUGGACAGUUAAGUCAGUUGUGAAAGUUUGCGGCUCAACCGUAAAAUUGCAGUUGAUACUGGCUGUCUUGAGUACAGUAGAGGUGGGCGGAAUUCGUGGUGUAGCGGUGAAAUGCUUAGAUAUCACGAAGAACUCCGAUUGCGAAGGCAGCUCACUGGACUGCAACUGACACUGAUGCUCGAAAGUGUGGGUAUCAAACAGGAUUAGAUACCCUGGUAGUCCACACAGUAAACGAUGAAUACUCGCUGUUUGCGAUAUACAGUAAGCGGCCAAGCGAAAGCAUUAAGUAUUCCACCUGGGGAGUACGCCGGCAACGGUGAAACUCAAAGGAAUUGACGGGGGCCCGCACAAGCGGAGGAACAUGUGGUUUAAUUCGAUGAUACGCGAGGAACCUUACCCGGGCUUAAAUUGCAUUUGAAUAUAUUGGAAACAGUAUAGCCGUAAGGCAAAUGUGAAGGUGCUGCAUGGUUGUCGUCAGCUCGUGCCGUGAGGUGUCGGCUUAAGUGCCAUAACGAGCGCAACCCUUAUCUUUAGUUACUAACAGGUCAUGCUGAGGACUCUAGAGAGACUGCCGUCGUAAGAUGUGAGGAAGGUGGGGAUGACGUCAAAUCAGCACGGCCCUUACGUCCGGGGCUACACACGUGUUACAAUGGGGGGUACAGAAGGCAGCUACCUGGUGACAGGAUGCUAAUCCCAAAAGCCUCUCUCAGUUCGGAUCGAAGUCUGCAACCCGACUUCGUGAAGCUGGAUUCGCUAGUAAUCGCGCAUCAGCCAUGGCGCGGUGAAUACGUUCCCGGGCCU